UACAGAGGGGGCAAGCGUUUAUUCGGAAUUAUUGGGCGUAAAGGGCGCGUCAGGCGGCUUUGCAAGUGGCGGGUGAAAUCCCUCGGCUUAACCGAGGAACUGCCUGCCAGACUGUGAGGCUUGAGACCGGGAGAGGUGAGUGGAAUUCCCAGUGUAGCGGUGAAAUGCGUAGAUAUUGGGAGGAACACCAGUGGCGAAGGCGGCUCACUGGACCGGAACUGACGCUGAGGCGCGAAGCC
rnacentral:rRNA from 1 species